rnacentral:tRNA from 1 species
GAGGGUAUAGCUCAGUGGUGGAGCACAGGCUUGGCAUGUACGAGGUCCUGGGUUCAACCCCAAUACCUCUA